GUCAAAUUUGGGUUUUUCUCUCUUUAGUGGCUUGGUAGGGUGCAGAGCUCUUUGUCAGACUCCCCUUUAGUAAAUCCUCAGUUAUACCCACUCAGGGAGUUGGCUCUUCUUCUGUUGCUGCUGUUGUCAAGAGUGCCAUCAGGUCCACUUGCUGGUGCGGGAAUCCAAGGCCCCGCAGGAAGGAGGUUGCCUGCCCAGCCCUGUGACCCCAACCUAAGAUGCGUCAGCUGCAGUGAAAUAUCUGAGCUAGCCCGCGGUCUGCGCCUACCAGACGUUUUGGGACACUGCGGCACCCAACCUUUGUUAAGAUCAUUAGCAAGCGUUUUGAAUGUGACUGGUUUGCCAUACAAGCUGUGAAACUCGUGCUGGUGGGGUUUUGUUAGUCAGUGGUGUGCUUCACUGAAGGCAGAAGAGGAGAGAUAGGGGGCAAAGGAUUAGCCUUCAUUAAUACACCUGGUAUUAAAGAAGAAAGCUCUUAUAUUUGGCUCUGAGAUGACCGUGCUUCAAUCGUUUCUGUGUGGUUUCCAAUCAAAGGAACAGCGUGGUGAGGGAUGGUUGCCAUUUCUGAUAUCUAACGUGCUUUACACCUGUGGGAACCCAGCUCAGUGGGUGAAAGGAAGAAGAUGCUGCUGCUGAGCCAGAUAAGCAAGCUGGGAAUACAGAACCUGUUACCUUGCCACCUCAGAAACAGCAGUGUCCUUUGAGCCCUAGAUUACAGCAUUUAAGAGCUGGAGGUUUUUCUUUAACUUUCAAAUAGAACUUUGCUGGUUACUGAGACUGUGAAGAUGCCCUCUUUUUUUCCUCCUCCUUCCCACUUGAUCAAUGGCAAGCACGAAGAACUCCCAAUAUCUUCCUUGCCCACUUGAGCUCUCUGUGAUUUCAAUCUAAGACAUUCUCAGUUAGAUUCGGCCCGAUAAAGAUCUCGGAGAAGCUGAGCGCAAGGCACUGGAGUUAGAAAUCACCACUGUCUGGGAAGAGCUGAAAACUCAAUCUAGUUCAUGUGGCCUCUGAGAGGAUGAGGCCUCAAUCCUGCAGUGACGCAGAGCAAUAAUCUGUAGAGCUUUCUUGGCGUCGCGCUCAGAGAGCCCCUCAGCCUGGGACCUGGCUGCUGCUUUCCCAUCUCCACAGGGCUGCUUGGCUGAAGGAAGCACAAGCUAUCAUUUAUACACUUGGUGCAAGCACACCCUUACACAUAUAAUGUAUAUUUAGCAUGCCUUAAUAAAACAUUGAAUAUAACAAACAGUGGCAAUGAAAAUUACAUGCUCUUAUAAACAUUUUUAUUUUAAACAACAUUUUGCGCUGUGAUGCGGCAGAGGCAUCUACAACAUAAUCAGCCCCGUAA